rnacentral:misc_RNA from 1 species
GCCAUUACUUCUUUCUUCGAUCCUCUCUACCAGUUUCCAACUCAUCUUUCGUUGACUGUUGUCUCCGCCAUGGCUUGGCCGCGCUCUUCCAUCCUCUAUUACUCGUUGAUUCUGUUAAUCAUUCAAGGCUUCGUUUCUUCAGCUCUCGAUUUCGACAAUCAGAGGCUCCCGGUGAUAAUUCCCCUCCAUCUCUCAACCCCUAACGUUUCCUCUCAUCGUAAAGUAUUCAGCAGCGACUAUAACAGGCGGCAACUCCAAAAUUCUGACCUCCCCAACGCUCGUAUGCGCCUCUACGACGAUCUCCUCUCUAACGGUUACUAUACUACGAGGCUAUUUAUUGGGACACCUCCACAGGAAUUCGCUCUUAUUGUGGAUACAGGCAGUACUGUAACAUAUGUUCCGUGCUCUACAUGUGAACAAUGCGGCAAGCAUCAGGAUCCAAGGUUCCA